ensembl:lncRNA
UGGGUGCAAAAUUUGGACACAGGGCUUGCCAUCUGUCCCUGUCACAGUAAAAUGUGCCUCUGCCUCCUACCCCUGUCCCCAUCCUCUGCUCUGGGCUGACAGUUUUUGAUCCUAAAUCAAAGCUGUUCGGAAGAAAAGUUAUCAGUAGAUACCCAGGAAAGGAUUUAGAAUCCUAAAACCUGAGGACUGGAAAUUGCCUCAAAGAUCAUCUAGUCUAGCCUCAUUUAUUAGAAGAGCAAUGUGAGGUGAGGUGACUCGUCCAGUGUCACACAGCUAGCUUCCUGUUUGUGUCUCAUUCCCUUGUUUCUUGCUGCUUCCAGUGGCUACUGAGAAAUCCAAAAUCCAGCUUCCAGGUGGGUAACUCCAGCAGAGGCUGGAAUACACUAGCUGCCUCUGGGGCUCCACCACUGAAGGAGCUGAGAAAUGGAAAAAUGAAGGUCCCCGUCUCAUAGGUCCAGUGCGAUUGAAUAACUUCUCUCACUUAGAACAGUGCUUGGCAUGUGGGGAGAGCUCAGGAAGAGUAUCCAUUGCUGCUAUUAAUCUCCCUUGACUGUUGCCAGAAGGCAAGUGAUACAUGGAAAGAGCUCUGAACUAGUAGAAGUUAAGAAAUUUCUAGUUCCCGCCAUGUGACUUGUGAUAAGUCAUUCACCUCAAAUCCUCAGUUUCCUCAGAUGAGGAUUUUAUGCAGCAGUGCUGGCUUAGCCAUAAAACUACAGGAGAGCUUCUCAAAGAGUAAUGUGCACACAAAUCACCUGGGGAUCUUGUCAAACUGCACAGACUCUUUCUGCAAAUCAGGUGUGGAACCCGAGAUCCGGCAUUUCUAACACGCUCCCAGGUGAUGCCAGUGCUGUUGGUCCAGGGCACCCCCAGCCCUUCUGAUGUGCCAUACAACGUAAGGAGAGCAUUCUGGUCAUCAGGCCGACAGCAGCCUCCAAGACCCUUAGGUUGUCUUCUUGACGCCAGCGGCAGCUUUCAUAAGGCAGUGCGGAGAAGUGACAUCUGCUCCUAAAGUUUCUGCAGAAAGGGGGUCUCUCUUCGUACCUAGUUUCAAGGUCUUACAUGUUCAUUAAGUUUAGCCUUCAGCCUCAGAGUAAUCUCACACUUUGCUCAAUACCGUUUUGCAGAUCUGGUGACUGCGAUGUCAGCAUUCUAAAGCCCCUCCCCUAACAGCUGGUUCCACUUCCUGGGCAGUUACGCCAUCAGGCUACGGUUGGGCCAGGUACCAGACGUUCCUCUUGGGAAGACAGGUGUGAUAUCAGGGGACAGGGUGUGACUGGAGGCCUGAACAGAUGUGUCUGCUGUGCCAGGGGAUGGUUUCCCCUGAAGACCCUCUCUGCUAACACACGAGCCUUCCUCCAGCAGUGGGCCCCAGGACACUGUCUGGACCUUGGCUGCCCUCCUGGCUCUUCGGGUGGCUGUCCUGGGAGAAGGCUGAUGUCUGCAGGCUCCAGACACUGCCCGUGCUGCAGGCCUUACAGAUGCCCAGGAACCUCAGCCCUGAGCCAUGUCUCUGUGGAAUGUUCCCCCUUCCCAAUUCUGUCUCCUGUUUUGUCAUUAAAAUAGUGGUAAAGUAGUUAGCGUGAUGGAGCAUUUAUUACACUAGACACGUACAUAACCG